rnacentral:ribozyme from 1 species
UGCCAAGCAACUCUUAUCCCUACCUCCUCGUGGUACUGGCCGGGGUACGAGUAACCUUGGGGAAGAUCGGGUAACCAACCCCCGGUGGGAACUUUGGUCGUAUGCUGACAGGGAAGG